AUUCUUUUGUAAUUCAUAAGCGUGAUGACUGGGUAUUCACGUGCAUGUGUGAGAUGUGCCACCCUGGAACCUUGUUACGACGUCAGCACAUUAUGGGUCUGACA
ensembl:snoRNA